rnacentral:tRNA from 1 species
GGGCCGCUAACUCAAUUGGAAGAGUAGGUGCCUUUUAAGCAUCGAGUUCGGGGUUCGAGCCCCCGGCGGCCCA